GGAUCGUCCACACGAAGCUCCCGAUCUGAUCGGCUCCUCAUGAAUGCUAGUUCAUUGCAGAACCCUUUCGACGGCUGAUGCUGAUCGAACUCCUUCGAUCGGUGUCUGCCGACUCCUCAGAUACUCCAGAUCAUUAGUAAAGGUGCUUGAGAGGUUGAUGAAGCUCUUUCUGAAGUUUGGUGGGCUCACGACACUCGUAGCUCACCUUUUCACUUUUCGAACCCUAGGCA
rnacentral:lncRNA from 1 species